rnacentral:rRNA from 1 species
GACGAAUGAUGGCGGAGGGAGGAACACAGGCAAGUCGAACGGAAAGGCCCUGCUUUUGUGGGGUGCUCGAGUGGCGAACGGGUGAGUAACACGUGAGUAACCUGCCCUUGACUUUGGGAUAACUUCAGGAAACUGGGGCUAAUACCGGAUAGGAGCUCCUGCUGCAUGGUGGGGGUUGGAAAGUUUCGGCGGUUGGGGAUGGACUCGCGGCUUAUCAGCUUGUUGGUGGGGUAGUGGCUUACCAAGGCUUUGACGGGUAGCCGGCCUGAGAGGGUGACCGGCCACAUUGGGACUGAGAUACGGCCCAGACUCCUACGGGAGGCAGCAGUGGGGAAUAUUGCACAAUGGGCGGAAGCCUGAUGCAGCAACGCCGCGGGCGGGAUGACGGCCUUCGGGUUGUAAACCGCUUUCGCCUGUGACGAAGCGUGAGUGACGGUAAUGGGUAAAGAAGCACCGGCUAACUACGUG